rnacentral:rRNA from 1 species
AUUGAACGCUAGCGGGAUGCUUUACACAUGCAAGUCGAACGGAGUGGCGGACGGGUGAGUAAUAUAUGGGAACGUGCCUAGUAGCGGGGGAUAACUACUCGAAAGAGUGGCUAAUACCGCAUACUAUGGGAGGGGCCGAUAUGGGAUUAGCUAGUUGGGGGGGUAAAGGCUCACCAAGGCAACGAUCCGUAGCUGGUUUGAGAGGACGACCAGCCACACUGGGACUGAGACACGGCCCAGACUCCUACGGGAGGCAGCAGUGGGGAAUUUUGGACAAUGGGGGAAACCCUGAUCCAGCCAUCCCGCGUGUAUGAUGAAGGCCUUCGGGUUGUAAAGUACUUUUGGCAGAGAAGCGUUAUCUGCAGAAGAAGCCACGGCUAACUACGUGCCAGCAGCCGCGGUAAUUC